rnacentral:rRNA from 1 species
GACGAACGCUGGCGGCGUGCCUAAUACAUGCAAGUCGAACGCAGUGGGGACGGGUGAGUAACACGUGGGUAACCUCCCAUCAGAGGGGAUAACCCUUGGAAACAGGUGCUAAACCGAUACUGAUGGAUGGACCCGCGGUGGAUUAGCUAGUUGGUGAGGUAACGGCUCACCAAGGCCACGAUGCAUAGCCGACCUGAGAGGGUGAUCGGCCACCAUGGGACUGAGACACGGCCCAGACUCCUACGGGAGGCAGCAGUAGGGAAUCUUGGGCAAUGGGCGAAAGUCUGACCGAGCAACGCCGCGUGAGUGAAGAAGGUCUUCGGAUCGUAAAACUCUGUUGGUAGAGAAGCGGUAUCUAACCAGAAAGCCCCGGCUAACUACGUGCCAGCCGCCGCGGUAAUAC